ACCAGCAAUCACGAUGAAAAAAUGAAACGAACGAAAACCAGCGACACCAUCUUCUGACCUGCAAAAAUUUAUACACCGUCAUCACCCUCCAUCUCCACCACCACCACCCUGCGCCUCAAAAUGAAUUUUCAGUUUCAUCUUCGACUAUUAUCACGCCCUCCUCCUCCUCUCCACCACCUUACUUUUUUCAAACCUUUACAAAAACCUUUGCCGAAAAUAUGAGCUCUCUCUUUUAAUUUUAUCUGAUUUUGAAAUUUUGAAGUGUCAAUUUCAAUUUCAAAUCAAGUUAUUUCAUAGAGAAGGGGUUCUGCUUUAAAUUUCAUUAUACACAACUUACUUCACUGAUUAGAGUAGAUUCAGACGAUUUGGAUUCCCAACUCUGGGGUUUUAAACAUCAAAAUUUUCCCCAAAAUUCCAAAUAGAUGAUUCUUUGAGGGUAUGCACAAGUUAUAAAAUAAAGGUCGAUGUGGUCUACAAUGGGCUACUGCAAAUGCGUGGCGAGAUGUUUGGUCGCUUAGACCCAUCCUUGACAUCAAGUUUUAUGAAACUAAAUCUAGGUCUUAGAAUGGAGGGGCAUCUUGGCAGGUCUGCAAUUGCAUCAGGCAUGCGUCUUUGAUUCAAAUCAAAAAGUCAUAUGGGAACUGAAGAAAAUGUAAGGAUGUUGAUGUCAAAUGGUCCCACGUCUUUGAUGGGAUUACAUUAUAUAAUUGUCUUAGAAUGGAGGGGCAUCUUGGCAGGUCUGCAAUUGCAUCAGGCAUGCGUCUUUGAUUCAAAUCAAAAAGUCAUAUGGGAACUGAAGAAAAUGUAAGGAUGUUGAUGUCAAAUGGUCCCACGUCGAAGAGAUAUUGAAUUAUAGGGAUCUGUGAGCAUCAGAAAUGGAUGUCCAACUUUCGGUUCAAAUUGUAGGCCUAUCGCUCUUGAGAAUUCACUAGAGAGAAAAUGUUUGGAGCAUAUUUAGCACACUGGGGUUUGGGCAUGUCUUUGUUUUACCUCCAAGGCAGGGAUAAAUCAGAGACAUGGAAACUAUUGGAACUCGCUCUGUUAAUCAGAGACAAAACAUGACUGCAGAGCAGCUGGCCAUUCAACGAGCAAUGAAUUGUGAUCGACAAAGCAUCCGUAAGCAAAACAUGACGGAGGAGCAGAGGUCUUCUGUACGCGAGCAUGAUCGUAUUCGACAUAGAGCCGCCAAAGAAAAGCUGAACCUUCCUUCAACACCUACAGGCAACAAUGCUGCACACCUGUUUGAACGUGUUACACAACAACAUAUGCAGAUAGAAGUUGAAGGCUAUGUGGAAUUAGGCCAUCAACACCUAGGCUAUACACGAAAAAUACAAAAUACGGAACAAACGGAACGGCAGGCGCAUCGCGCAUGCGUGUUAUACUAGUAUCUAGAAAGAAAUCUUGGCCUACCGACCCUCUUUUUAUUGCAUUCCUUAAAUAGGUUGUUUAACAAUCUUUUAAGACAGCGUAGCUUAUUACUUUAAACAUGGCGUUUCUUUUUAUAACCUUUGUAUAGGAUUCUUUAUUUUUUUUUUCAUAU